UACGUAGGGUGCAAGCGUUGUCCGGAAUUAUUGGGCGUAAAGAGCUUGUAGGCGGUUUGUCGCGUCUGCUGUGAAAUUUCGGGGCUCAACCCCGAACUUGCAGUGGGUACGGGCAGACUAGAGUGUGGUAGGGGAGACUGGAAUUCCUGGUGUAGCGGGGAAAUGCGCAGAUAUCAGGAGGAACACCGGUGGCGAAGGCGGGUCUCUGGGCAGUAACUGACGCUGAGGAGCGAAAGCGUGGGGAGCGAACAGG
rnacentral:rRNA from 1 species